UAGGGAAUAUUGCAAGAUGGGCGAAAGCCCGAUGCAGCAACGCCGCGUGGGCGAUGAAGGCCUUCGGGUCGUAAAGCCCUUUUUGAGGGGAUGAGGAAGGACGGUACCCUCAGAAUAAGCCUCGGCUAACUACGUGCCAGCAGCCGCGGUAAAACGUAGGAGGCGAGCGUUAUCCGGAUUUACUGGGCGUAAAGCGCGUGCAGGCGGAUUGGAGAGUUGGAUGUGAAAGCUCCCGGCUUAACUGGGAGAGGUCGUUCAAUACUUCCAGUCUUGAGUGCAGUAGAGGGAAGUGGAAUUCCGGGUGUAGUGGUGAAAUGCGUAGAUAUCCGGAGGAACACCAGUGGCGAAAGCGGCUUCCUGGACUGUAACUGACGCUCAGACGCGAAAGCUAGGGUAGCAAACG
rnacentral:rRNA from 1 species